GACGAACGCUGGCGGCGUGCCUAAUACAUGCAAGUUGAGCGCUGAAGGUUGGUACUUGUACCAACUGGAUGAGCAGCGAACGGGUGAGUAACGCGUGGGGAAUCUGCCUUUGAGCGGGGGACAACAUUUGGAAACGAAUGCUAAUACCGCAUAAAAACUUUAAACACAAGUUUUAAGUUUGAAAGAUGCAAUUGCAUCACUCAAAGAUGAUCCCGCGUUGUAUUAGCUAGUUGGUGAGGUAAAGGCUCACCAAGGCGAGGAUACAUAGCCGACCUGAGAGGGUGAUCGGCCACAUUGGGACUGAGACACGGCCCAAACUCCUACGGGAGGCAGCAGUAGGGAAUCUUCGGCAAUGGACGAAAGUCUGACCGAGCAACGCCGCGUGAGUGAAGAAGGUUUUCGGAUCGUAAAACUCUGUUGGUAGAGAAGAACGUUGGUGGGAGUGGAAAGCUCAUCAAGUGACGGAAACUACCCAGAAAGGGACGGCUAACUACGU
rnacentral:rRNA from 1 species